GCAGUUCUGCCAAUCACCAGUUGUACGACCCAGAGCCAGUGCCUGGAUGGACAUACCACUUCCCGUGUGUCCUGUGCGUGGUGGUUGAGCAAAUAUUCUGUGGAUUUAGCACCCUGAGGCCCAGAGUUUGUUUUGCCCGUCUUUGUGUGUUCUUCACAGAGACUAGUAGGUGGCCUGUCCACUGAAGCCGCUUGGUGUGUGUUCAUUCCUCUACAUUAGACAUAAAUGUACCUACGGAGAUCCCAUUUUUACCACUAGAUGGAGAGCACGGAUCUCAAAGUUUUAAUCCAUUAGCGAGUGAGAGAGCAAACGUUUGUCUCUUCGUGUCUUAACCAGUUCAAAUUAUUUAUUUUGACACCAUUCAAACUAGCUGUCAACAAAGACAACUGUAAGACAACUUUGAGAAUUAUUUAUUGUUAAAAUAACAAAGGCAAGGAAGAAACACUAACUUCAAGAUAGUGCUUACCUCUGGGGUGGGGAUAAAUUGGAACUGGGUGGGAAAAGCAGAUCUAAAUGUAUUUAACAGCUUCUUUCUUUUUUUAAAGCCUACUUAUUUGAAAGGCAGAGGGACACACAGGGAGAGGGAGAAACAAAGGGACAGAUAGAGAAAAAGAAAGAAAGACAGAGUUCUUCCAGCUUCUGGUUUACCCCACAAAUGACCUUGACAGCCAGGGCUGAGCCAGGCUGAAGCCUGGAGCCAGGAACUCCAUCCAGGUCUUCCACGUGGGUGGCAGAGGCCCAAGGACUUGUGCCAUCCUCUGCCGCCUUCCCAGAUACAUUAACUGAAAACUGGAUCAGAAGCAGAGCAGCAGGGACUUAAACACGUACUCCAAUGGGGGACACAGGCAUCGAAGAAAGUGGCUUAAUCCACUGUUCCACAGUACCCGCACCCGUGACAGCUUAUUUCUCAAGUAAAAAGAAAUAUGAAUCAAAAAAUGUCAACUUUGGGUAGAGAGAAGUGGCUGUUUGGGAUUAGUGCACAUCUCUGCAAUUCAGGAGAUGGCUACAACCACACAGUGCAGAGUAUCAGAACAAGAGAAUCUUCUGGAACAGAAAUCAGAAAAUAUUUUCUUUACAGGAUUAUAUUCUCCCCUACAGGAUGUUGCCUGUGAUGCUGCUUCCAUUGAUUAUUGAUUGCUAUGGAGUGCCUUCACGUGGACGAGAGCCCCGUCUUGUGACAAGAAGAUCCAGAAGAGGCUCAGGAAGACCCUCUGUGGGAACGAGAGCCUGGGCUGCAGCUCUGGCUUCAUUUUAUUUUUUGCAUUUUUUUAUUUAGUAAAUAUAAAUUUCCAAAGUACAGUUUAUGGAUUACAAUGGCUUCCCCCCCAUAAUUUCCCUCCCACUCACACCCCUCCCAUUUCCCGCUCCCUCUCCCCUUCCAUUCACAUCAAGAUUCAUUUUCAAUUAUCUUUAUAUACAGAAGAUCAAUUUAGUAUAUAUUAAGUAAAAUUUUAUCAGUUUGCACCCACACAGACCAUAAAGUGUAAAAUACUGUUUCAGUACUAGUUAUAGCAUUACUUCACAUUGAACAACACAUUAAGGACAGAUCCCACAUGAGAAGUAAGUACACAGUGACUCCUGUUGUUGACUGAACAAUUUGACACUCUUGUUUAUGGUGUCAGUAAUCUCCCUAGGCUCUAGUCAUGAGUUGCCAAGGCUAUGGAAGCCUUUUGAGUUCGCCGGCUUCGAUCUUAUUCUGACAGGGUCAUAGUCAAAGUGGAAGUUCUCUCCUCCCUACAGAGAAAGGUACCUCCUUCUUUGAUGGCCCCGUUCUUUCCACUGGGAUCUCACUCACAGAGAUCUUUCAUUUAGGUCUUCUUCUUCUUCUUCUUCUUCUUCUUUUUUUUUUUUUUUUUUUUCCCCAGAGUGUCUUGGCUUUCCAUGCCUAAAAUACUCUCAUUCCAUUGUCCUUCCUACAAAUCACCAAGGUGACCACUAGAGGCACCAUACCCAGGUUAUUGAUUUGGAGAAGGCUGGACUUUGACAAGAGCGUAAGAAGUCUUGGAACACAUUUCACGGAGGCCUGUUUUCAGAUGAAGGUAAGUUUUGGAGUCUAACUACUUUCUAGCCUAGACCAUCUUCCUUCUGACUUCCAGCCUGAAUUCUUCUUCCCCAAACCACUUACUGCCAUAUCUCCAAAUGCUGAGACUCUCCCUCUGCUGUCUCUCUGCCCUAGGGCAGGAAGACCUUCUAAUCUGUCCUACCAAGAAUCCUCCCCAAAGAUCCCAGGUCCUAUGGUGACUUGCUAGUUGGAUGUUGGUACCUCCUUGACAACAUACCCCAAAUUUCCUUCUGAAGUGGCUCCUGGCCAGUGUCAUCUUCCGUACUUACUGUAGCUUUUCAUAAUUCUUUCUCCUUCAGUGGCUGCUAGCACCUAAAGCCUCAUUCCAUUUCAAAGCCUUUGCUUGGCCAGCUUGAGACUCCAAUACAAGCUACAGUUCAUUUAUAUAGAUUGUUCAUCAUGUAGGUUACAUUUUUGUGCUGUCUCUGUGGUCAUAGGUGAACCACUUCACCUCUCCAGGCAAUAAGUGACUGGGUGGGGAAACUCGCUGGGCACUCAUAGAAACACACACAUCCACAUGUAUUUUCACAAUGGCUUAUGAAGGAGUUGGGAUUUUCAGCUUCAUCUUUGACUAACAUGUACAAUAUUGGGCAGGUGCAUUCCUUGAGCCUCAGUUACCUCAUCUGAGAAGUGGAGAAAAUGUUCAAUGAGGAGUGAAUGAAGUCAUCAUACAGGCAAACAAUUUGAGAUUAAUACCAGGCUUGGAGAAAAGAUAAUUCACAGAUAUUAAUUGUGAAUAAACAUAUAAAAUAGUUGUCA
ensembl:lncRNA